AUACUUAUCUGGCAGGGAAAUACCAUGAUCACAAAGGUGAUUUUCUCAGGGUGAGGUUUAUUCAUUUCACUCUGGAUGUGAUGACCCCUGCGAUUUCCCCAAAUAUGGGAAACUAGACUGCAUAAAUUAUGGUAGUGGGGGACUGUAUUCGUGCUCUCCCCUG